rnacentral:rRNA from 1 species
CACGGGGGGAGCAAGCGUUGUUCGGAAUCACUGGGCGUAAAGGGCGCGUAGGCGGCCCGCUAAGUCGAACGUGAAAUCCCUGGGCUCAACCCAGGAACUGCGUCCGAUACUGGUGGGCUCGAAUCCGGGAGAGGGAUGUGGAAUUCCAGGUGUAGCGGUGAAAUGCGUAGAUAUCUGGAGGAACACCGGUGGCGAAGGCGACAUCCUGGACCGGUAUUGACGCUGAGGCGCGAAAGCCAGGGGAGCGAACGGG